GAUAACUACUGGAAACGGUAGCUAAUACCGCAUAACGUCGCAAGACCAAAGAGGGGGACCUUCGGGCCUCUUGCCAUCGGAUGUGCCCAGAUGGGAUUAGCUAGUAGGUGGGGUAACGGCUCACCUAGGCGACGAUCCCUAGCUGGUCUGAGAGGAUGACCAGCCACACUGGAACUGAGACACGGUCCAGACUCCUACGGGAGGCAGCAGUGGGGAAUAUUGCACAAUGGGCGCAAGCCUGAUGCAGCCAUGCCGCGUGUAUGAAGAAGGCCUUCGGGUUGUAAAGUACUUUCAGCGGGGAGGAAGGGAGUAAAGUUAAUACCUUUGCUCAUUGACGUUACCCGCAGAAGAAGCACCGGCUAACUCCGUGCCAGCAGCCGCGGUAAUACGGAGGGUGCAAGCGUUAAUCGGAAUUACUGGGCGUAAAGCGCACGCAGGCGGUUUGUUAAGUCAGAUGUGAAAUCCCCGGGCUCAACCUGGGAACUGCAUCUGAUACUGGCAAGCUUGAGUCUCGUAGAGGGGGGUAGAAUUCCAGGUGUAGCGGUGAAAUGCGUAGAGAUCUGGAGGAAUACCGGUGGCGAAGGCGGCCCCCUGGACGAAGACUGACGCUCAGGUGCGAAAGCGUGGGGAGCAAACAGGAUU
rnacentral:rRNA from 1 species